rnacentral:misc_RNA from 1 species
AUCAAAGCCUUCCCGGUGCCGCACAGAGGACUGGGCCGGCGUGUCCAGUUCAUCCCCCGUUGUGUCUUUUUUUUUUCUUUUUCGUCUUGUGUAGUUGCACACGGCAAAUUGUCCGUUCCCAGCCUUCCGUCCUCAUCCAAAACGCAACAACAAAAAGCGUUGACGAGGCACUGCUGGUCUCGCGUGCGUUCCCCUUCUUGUUCGAGCUGUGAGAGCGAGUCGCCCGCCCCGCCGACGUCGCGGCGGCGAACCUGCCGUUUCUGCCGCUUCUCUCGCCCUCUCUCUCUCUCUUUGCUUGCGGGGAGGAGAAAGAAGAGGUGAGGGGUCUGCUCGCGGGGGCGCGCGCCGCUGCGCUGAACCGCGUCUGGAGGACGAGGCCUUUUUUUUUUGCAGGACUCCAUCAUACGCGCCAACCCGCUCGUGCGCGUGCCGAAGGCGCCCUCGCUCAUCUUGCCUGCGCCUGGCUCGGUGUCUUUGAGGCGUGCGCCUCCGUCCGACGUGCAUCCCUCGGCGUGCGCCUUCUCUUCCCUUGACGCACAUACGUGGCGGCGCAGGUGUGAUCCGAGAGAAGGGUGGGGAGAGGGCGAAAAAGUCAUUCGCUCCGCACGCUCCUCCUCUUCCACGAGAGCAUCGAGCACCACCUCACGCGUACCUUUGUGGUGUCACACGCUUCCCAACCCCUCUCCUUCUCUUUCUCUUGUUACCCUCCCGACGCACACCGCAAGGCAGCAGAGGCUUGAAGGAUGGACGUCGGACGCGAGGGCCACUCGGGCCUGUACACCAUGCACUUCUCCACGGUGUUCCCGGCGGAGAAGUCAUCACAGGAGAAGACGAACAGCACGGCGACAAACUCGUCCUCCUCGUCUCCGCUACCAGCACCGGCGUCCUCGGAUGGCGGCAAGUCCAGCGCGAGCGGCAGUCCGUGCUGCUCUCUCUCUCAGUUCAGCCAGUGGCACAUGCUGAUCCGCGUGGACGUGGAAAACGAAAUGUUCUUUGUGAAAGGCGACGCCAAGGUGUUCUCGCCGACACCGUCGCUGACCAGCGGGAUGGCGCGCGGCAUUAACCGCGACGGCACACCCGCGCAGAGCUCGACAUCGCCAGACGGCAUCCCGAUUGUACCAGUGCAUCAGAAGGAUCGGCGGUGCAGUGUUGCCAUCGGGAGUUACUACCGUCAAGUCGAGGGCCUCGAGGCUGCGGGUACAAUGCCUUCUUCAUCUAUGCUCGGCUUGGAAGUGCGGAUGCCGCGACUCGAGGCGGCCGUGUUGGGGCUCGCGGAGCCGGAGAUACUGACGGAUGUUGUGCUGAACUGCUCAGGACACAAGUCGUGCGGGUGGUACAUGGGUGCAGUAACGGUGACGGCGGAAGGCAAGGCGGUGGAGACGCCGCAGACGAUUCGGUUUCUCCUGAAACCGUUCUAUGGCCACCGAUGCGCGCAAUGCCUCGACCCCGUCUACGCCAUCGGUUACACGUGCGAGCACUGCCAGGUGCCGCACUACUGCUCCCGGGAUUGCAUGAAUGCGCACAUGAAGCGGCACCAUAAGCUCUUGUGCCCGCUGCUGUAUGACAAGUAUCGCUGCCAGUCUGGUGAGGUGGUGACGGAGGUGCCGGACGGGUCGGCGCUCGUGGCGUGGUGGCGCUGCCUCGAACACGGCACCUUCAGCGUGCUGGUGGACCCCAACAACUCCCUGGGCUACGCGAUUGAGCUGACGCUGAACGUGCUCAAAUCGGCGCGGCAGGAAGGCCUGCAGUAUCGCCUGGUGUCCUCCACGACCCUGACGUCGUCGCCGCCGCACGAGGAGGUGGCGCGAUUUGCCUGUGUGCUGCUGCGCGAGGUGAACCGCAGCGCCAUCUUGGAGGGCUGUGCGCCGCUCGCGGCGGCUUGCCUCGACUACCUCUACGUCUUCAGUCCAACCGCCGACUUCGCCAUCCAGGCGCAUAUACUCUUCUUCACCACUUUCCACUGCGAGGACCUCGACGUGCCGAUCGACACCUUCGAGGAGUAUGUCUCCUACGCUCGUCCCCUGCACGCACUGGCGUCGCUGCAGAUCAACUACGCUCUCAAGAGCACGAUCCCGGCAGAGUUCUGGCGCCGUGUAAAGGUCGCCAAGGAUUCGAUCGCCUCGUUGCUGGCGGUAACCAACGUCGUGCCCAGCGGCGGGGUGGAGGGGCUGAAGGAGAUCAUUACGGCGCAACAGCGCGACGCGCUCAUGAUGCUGUCGCGCAUAUUUGUGAUGAUGGCAGCGCGCUCCCCGGAGAGCGAGUGCCAGCGCUGGCUGGAGCAGGCAGAGCGCUGCCUGAGCCAGUGCCAGGAUGGGCUGGCGGUGUCCAACUCCUUCGAGGUGGAUGCCAUGAUAUGCUUCCGCCGCGCCGCCCUCUUACUCCUAUUUAAAACUGAUGCGAAGACGGAGGAGGCCAAGACCCAGAGGAAGAGGGGCGAGUCGUUCCUGAAGCUGGGCCAGAAGCCUGUGGCUGAUACAGCGAGCAUGCAGCAGCAAAAUGGCGUGGAGGAGGGCGAGCAGGUCAAGGUGGACGUCAAGAAGUCUUAGGCGAACCGAGGGAUAGAGAGAGGGGAGGGGCGGAUGCUGCUCUUGACCAGCUGCUGACCCAUUUAAGUGAGAGCAUAUGGGGGGGGAGGCGGCGGCGAGGAAGGGAAGGGGGUGGGAGCAGACAGCAAAAAGAGCAUCCGGCUUCACAUGCGGGGUGUGCGGGAGAUGUGGUGGGAUGGGAUAUAGAUGAUGAGGGAGUUUGCACACCUCCUUCUCGAGGCGCCUUCGCGCGUAUUGGCGACUUGUACGACCGAUCUCGUCCUCUCCCGAAUUCUACUCCCCAUCGCCCUCCGUCGCUUCAUGUUCUUUAUCUCACACCUAUUCCUUCCGCUGUUUCUCUUACUCUUCCCCGCGGGCUGGUGAGCUCGUCGCGCGCCCCUUGUGUGUUCUGUGCGCCGGGGUUGUCCUCCCUCCCCUCUCUCCCUCCCUCCUGAGGAAGAGGUGUUUGUAAGGCGUGAACAGGCUGGGGGAUGUCAACAGUCACGUGUUUUCUCCUUCCCUCCAUCCUUUGAUGUGGUUUUGUUUUGUGCACUCGCGCUGCGUUGUUGUGGUUGGUGGCAUUGGUGGUGGCGCUCGAGUGCUGGAGAGCGCGCAGAGGUGUGCUGGUGUGCGUAGCUCGAGAGCUGGAGAGGAAGAGGGAGGGCUGGCGCGUUGCAGCGCGCGCACAUCUGAGCCAUCGCGCUCGAUGAGGGGGGGAGGUGAGAAAGGGAGCCGAGAGUGGUGCGCACGGACCGGGACCGGGCAGGGGUUGCUUGCGCGCUCGUUCACGAAAGGUGGCGAGGCACACUGGCGCAGAUUGGUACCAAGAAGCGUCGACGCACACGCAGGCAAACAGACACAGACGCCCUUGCAGGACCCAUUCUACGCGCUCUGUAGUGGAGCACAACGUGCGUCUACCGCGUAAGGACUGCCAGCAUGCGUGAGGGUCUCACGUGUCCGUUGAGUGCUGGCCGCCUCGACUCCUUCGUGUUUUGUCUUCUCUCAUCAGAGGGGCUUAGGUGUGUUGCUGGCGGGGGCUUCCGCUGACUCGGGGAUAGCCCUCUCCAUACGCGUAAGACGGAUCGCAGAGAGGCGGUGCGCCAGUCGUUUUGUCGUCACCACAGGAUCUCCUCGUCUCUCCUGCCGUCUCUCUCCAUUUGUUGGCCGCAUCUCCGCCCUUCUUUCUCCUCCCUCUCGUCUUCUUUCGCUUUUGGCUCGUUGCUGGCGUGCUCCCCUCCCCCCAG